UACGUAGGGUGCAAGCGUUAAUCGGAAUUACUGGGCGUAAAGCGUGCGCAGGCGGUUCGGCAAGAGAGGCGUGAAAUCCCAGGGCUUAACCUUGGAACUGCACUUCUAACUACCGGGCUAGAGUACGGCAGAGGGGGGUAGAAUUCCACGUGUAGCAGUGAAAUGCGUAGAGAUGUGGAGGAAUACCGAUGGCGAAGGCAGCCCCCUGGGAUGAUACUGACGCUCAUGCACGAAAGCGUGGGGAGCAAACAGG
rnacentral:rRNA from 1 species